rnacentral:rRNA from 1 species
GAUGAACGCUGGCGGCGUGCCUAAUACAUGUAAGUCGAGCGAACAGAUGAGGAGCUUGCUCCUCUGACGUUAGCGGCGGACGGGUGAGUAACACGUGGAUAACCUACCUAUAAGACUGGGAUAACUUCGGGAAACCGGAGCUAAUACCGGAUAGUAUAUUGAACCGCAUGGUUCAAUAGUGAAAGACGGUUUUGCUGUCACUUAUAGAUGGAUCCGCGCCGCAUUAGCUAGUUGGUAAGGUAACGGCUUACCAAGGCAACGAUGCGUAGCCGACCUGAGAGGGUGAUCGGCCACACUGGAACUGAGACACGGUCCAGACUCCUACGGGAGGCAGCAGUAGGGAAUCUUCCGCAAUGGGCGAAAGCCUGACGGAGCAACGCCGCGUGAGUGAUGAAGGUCUUCGGAUCGUAAAACUCUGUUAUUAGGGAAGAACAAAUGUGUAAGUAACUAUGCACGUCCUGACGGUACCUAAUCAGAAAGCCACGGCUAACUACGUG